rnacentral:rRNA from 1 species
GACGAACCGUGCGACCGUUGUUCGGAAUCACUGGGCUUAAAGGGCGCGUAGGCGGCUUGCCAAGUCAGGGGUGAAAUCUUUCGGCUUAACCGGAAAAGUGCCUUUGAUACUGGCAGGCUAGAGGGAGGUAGGGGCAUGCGGAACUUCCGGUGUAGCGGUGGAAUGCGUAGAGAUCCGGAAGAACACCGGUGGCGAAGGCGGCCUGCUGGGCGGCGACUGACGCUGAGGCGCGACAGCGUGGGGAGCAAACAGG